UUUAUGAUACAGGGCAUGCCAAAGUGGUCAUAACAGCAGUAGUGACCUCAAUGGUUAAGUUCUAUGGCACAAUUUUGGCCAUUAUGCUUAGGUAGGUGACCCAAAAUCUGAUUCUAGAGCUCUUCUAGAGAUUCUGGAAGCUAUUCACUAUCACUUUGAAAUUUGACCGAUACACUUAACCUUAAUUUCUCUAUCAGUGAACUAAGGGUAAUACUGUAUACCUUGAAAGUAGCAGAGAGAAUUAAAUGAGAUAAUGUAUGUUUGUCAACCUCUCAGAAGAAAAAGGACUAUGGCUCACCUCUUCCAGUGUGAUGCAAAGAACCGGGUCUUUGGAAUAUGACAGACCUGAGUGUAAAUCUCCGCGGAAAUUGAACAGGUUGUCUACACCACAACACUGUCAUACCUAAGCAUUCUUACCUACAAAAUAAGGAUGAUUGAAUACCUCCUUCAUAGGAUUCUUCUGAAGAUUAAAAAAGAAACUGCACAGACAGCAACUAGUGUAGCCCUUGGCACAUGGUAAAGCAGGCAUUCAACAAAUGAUAGGUGACAGGAGCAAAUUAGGAGGUGACUGCUACUUUCCAUCAGAAAAGGAAACAACAGGAAAAAAAUCAUAGAAAGUAAACAUAUGCACAUGAUCUAUACGAAAUAGUAAACAAAAUAAAG